UCCGUGUCGCUGCGGGGUUUCGUGCGAAAGACGAAGCCCCGAGAUAAGGAAAACUUAGAGGCCAAGUGCUCUUUCCGGGCAAAAAAACCAAACCCAUGCGUUGUUCCCGCGGACUCCGGCGUCCUGCAGAAAGAACGGUCAGUGUUCCCUAGGAAGAUUUAACGUUAAAUACGUUUCUCACACUCCCCCAGGUGCGUGUGUAAAUAUCAUUCAUAACCUGGCUAGAUCACAUCUCGUCCAUCCCAUUCUUGCCCUGAUUACGGUCCCGUGGAAGCUCGGCAUCCCUCCUCCUUUCCCUUCUCCCCGGCUCGCUGAUACCGUGUCUUAAGGCACGAAAUCUUUCAAAAAGCAUUGAUUGUGGGAGGACAAAAAGAUAGAGAUUCAGCAGGAGGAUGACUAGGCCGGUGCACGGCACCGUCGUGAGGGUAGGAUUCCCUUUUCAUUUGAGCCUACUCAGUCAUGGAAGGAAUUGCAAUCGGGAUUAAUUUGCCUGGUAAUGUGAUAAGUGACGUUAAGCAUAAUAGAAAUAUAAUCGUGUGGAAGUUCAACCUCGCACCGUGUGGACCAGGCAUGAUACACGACAUAUAGGAGUUUUUCAAGGAAAUACGCCACUGACAGCUUCGAGAUGUAAUGAUGACUACAUUAUUGUCACUGAUAAUAGCAAACUGCAAAACCCUGCUCACCAUGGAGUGCCCAAGUCCUGCACCAACCGAGUAUGGAAACAACACCCUUAUCCAUCAAAAACCAAAAAGUAUCAGGGCGCAGAGAACACCAUAAAAAUAUACAGCAAACCUUAAACGUGAGGUGCAAACAAAGCCACUCUGUUCGCCAUCGUGGCGUAUGUGGUUGAAAGGACUUUCAAUGUUUGUAAAAGCUUCCAGGUUUGGGGAUUUUUUUCCCCCCACGAAUUUGUUGGGGUUUAUUUUCCCCUCAGUUCGUCACAGUUAAAUUUCGGAGGGACGCAGCCCACCUCGUGCUCGGCUGCAAGCAGAGCCACAUAAAGGAAGGCAUUCCAAAUACUUCACAUGAAUGCACUUUAUGCAAGGUGGGUGGGAAAAAACCUUGUGGCUCCGCUUUUAAAGUAUGUCCCUUCCGUGUCCCUUCUGCACCGUAAUAAUCAAUGAGGAGCUCUCACAUCCUGCACGGCUAACAUUUGCACAGAGGACGGGUAAAUACCUGGCGGGAGAGGGAAGAGGGGAAGAGGUUAAAAAUGAGGUCUCAGAAAACGAUGCGGGUCCUGUAACCAAAUACCGCCGGCGUACAGCGCUGCAUACGCGUAGGCACACGCACGCAUAUAAUCUAAUUACAGUUUCACGUAAGGAAACAAUUUGACCUUCAGCAUCCAAGUUGAGACAACAAAUCAAGGAUAUUAGUGUAGUACAAGCAAGCAGUAAGUUAGGAGACCCCAGGGAAAGCCAUCCUCAUAAGCACUGUGGUUGUGCAAAGUGAGUUACAUUCAGGUAAAAGCGGGCUGCGGCGCAUUCCGCUUCCCCGAGAGUUGAAAAAUGUUCAACUUGGCUUUAACCCCCCUGAAAGAGCCACUGAAAAGUCCCUCCGUACAGUCAGGUUUCAAGUGGGAAGAGGGCAGCAUUUUCUCAGCUGCCCGGUUUGCAUUCUCUGAACGCCUCGAUAAAGAGGAGCCAUCCGAGCCGUUUGCGAGUAUUCCUUUCGCGAGAGCAGGUUUUCUUACGUGGAAAUCCCUACCCGGCAGGGAGAGGACAUUUUACAAGGAGGUGCAGCCGCGCAGAAAGUUCCCCGGCCGAUGGAGAAGCGCAGGAUCCCAACCGCCAUUUUACCCCUAUAUUUUUGUAGCUGGGCAAAAGUGUUCAGUGAAAUUCAGCUUGGAAAAAUUGUGGCAUAAUCCCCCGUCUCCGGGAGUGGAUUAAGACGGCCACCUGGAGCUGCAUGAGGAGGCUGCUCAUGGAGUCCAGUGAACAGAGAGGGAUUCCCAGCUUCUGAGUGGUGGUGGUGGUGGUGACCAUGAUGUCCGGGGUAGCUACCUGUUGUCGAGACAAACAGUCCGUGGUGAGAACUUGCAGCGGGGUGCUGCUCGGUCAGCCCUGGCAUGAACGGGGCCGGCAGGUCUCUGCGUAUGAAGAAGUCCCUACCUGCUGCCAGCGCCUGGGCUGGUUUCCCGGUGCCGCUGCCCCGGCGGCGGGAGGCGCUGCCAGCGGGGCAGGCUCGACGAGCGCCGGGAGGUCCUGCCUCCCUCGGAGCCGGCGGGCGGCCCCGGGCGGCGGGACGGGACGGAACGGGCCCCGCCGGCCCAACAAUCGCCGCCCCCCCCCCAUUGGCUGCCGCCGCCGCGACGUCACCGAUGACAGGUCCCGGCGCUGACCGCUCCGUGCGGCGGGGGGUGCGCGGAGGAGGGACCGCGCAUGCGCCGCCGCCGCCGCCCCGCGGAGCCCCUCGUCCCGGGCACGGCGGAGCCCACGGCGCGGUUCCCCCCGGGGUCUUCGGUCUCGCCGCCGGGCUAUGACCGAGGCAGGAGCGCGGAGCCUCCCCCCGCUGCCCUGCCCCGGGGCGGAGAGCAUCCCCGGAGAGCCCCGCCGUCCCCGGCGGUGCAGCGGGAGGCGAGGCGGCCCCGGGCGGGCUGCGGGUCGCUGACACUUGUUGGCAGCGCAGGGAGCCGGGGCUGAGCCCGCUCCGCCAGGUCGCCCGCCGGGCCUGGCUCUCGGCCCGGGGCUGCUCCGCUGCCUCCGCCCUGACAAAGGAUUCCUGGAAGGCUCCGAGUCCCCUUCUCCGAGUUUGAGCGGUUAUCUGGUUCCCGGCUGCCGGAGCAAUGAGAGAAAUCGUGAUGUUUAGCCUGAAUCUGAGUGUUUAACCCAGAAGAGGGAGUCUCUCUCCCUUUCCCUCUCUCUCGCACACACAGUUCCAGGGUAGGUCCUUGUAAACCCCCUAUCCUUGGCUUGAAGCAAUGCAAAACGGUCAUAACCGACUCCGUUCUGAUGCUUCUCACCUGGAGGAAGGAACAUGGUCUGCAGGGUUUGCGUCGCUAGUGAUCAAAGUGUAGGUUAGGGCUUCAGCUUCACGCGCUGAGGCCUUACCGGUUUAGGAAAGCCUACGGCUUCAGCACAGAACGAAGCGCCUGCUUCAGUCUUUAGGAAGGAGAUUGUGAACUUAGAAAAAAGUAAGCGAAACAUGAGAAAAGAGGGAGGAAACAGGGCUUCUGCUUCAAGAAAGGAAAAUACAGCUGCAAGUUUCUGCCCACGGUAUUACCAUGGAACUCGGGUCCUGACAUAAAAAUGACUCCACCAAUAAAUGUACUGUUCUAUGAAAUAAAGUAACAGUUAAUUAUCCGUCCAUCGUGUCAAACUCUCAGCAUUUUAAUACGCUGACUUGCUGUUAACUUGGCAGCGCAUACUUUACCGCACACAUGCCAGGUAAAGCUCCCAGCGUGGAGUUUUGUGUCUCCAUAAAAAAUUAACUGUAUCGGUGAUCAAUAUGUUUUGUGUCAGAUUGUAAACCAAGAAACUGCUUAGCAGUGUCAUCCCAGCUACUCCCAUAAGAGAGGCUACCAGCCAUUGACUGGAAACCCUAAGAUUGGAGUGUAGAACGUACAUGAUCACGCAGAGGACAUUCUUAUCUUAGCUGCGUGUUCCCUGGGCUGGCUGCAGUUCUGCUUGGCUUUCACCAUAUUCCCCUUGUAACACGAGACUAAUAUUUAGGUAGAUUUUUUUUUGUGUGUGGAUACAUUUUAGGUAGAUAUAUUUUUGUGUACAUCUUUCUGAGCAGAGAUGAUGGAAAGUGACAAAUGACGCAAUUAGCUCUCCAUCCUUACAUAACAAGUUUACCAAGACAUUUUAAACCACACAUCAUCCUCACAAUAUCUCAACUUUCAAGUCUACUUGCUCUGCGAAAUGGAUUUGACAGUCCUAUUCAUGACCAUCUCAACAGGAGUGCACAGAAGAGACAAACGUUAGGAAGCAUGAAUCUGUUACUUACAAAUGUACUGAGUGUGAAUUCCA